rnacentral:sRNA from 1 species
ACUGCCGUUCACAACUGCCCUUUCCAACUGCUCCAGAACUCUUGGCCCUGGCGUUCUGUGAUGUAAAUUAUUCCACGCAUGGCUUGAAAUGGGUGAGAAGCAGGGUUGCCAGGUGUCGAUCACUAGUGUAAGUUGACUGGCUCUCGGGGAGAACCACUCCUGGAAUUUGUUCAGUUGUUACAGUCUGGGCCAGAGCUAUGCUGGCUGUGCGUGUGGCUGCUGCGGGCAGGGAGAGGGAGCUCCAAGCUGCAGUGGGGCGAGCUUGGGCUGCAGUUUCUACUUUAAACAUUCCUGGUCCAGCUAUGGACUAUUCAGCAUUGAACUUAGACAGUAUUGCUGCACUGGGAAGCACUCAGGCCCCGCUCCUGGAGCCCGUAUGGCCUGCACCACACGGCCUCCUGGUCUGUCUCCAGAUGUGGAGAGAACCCGCUUUUUGCCUUCCUAGAGAUCAUCAAAAUAUGUUGAGAAAUCGGAAUUGCUCUCAGUGUUUAGAAGUAUCCAGUUACAACACUGAAAGACUUAAGAGUCUGAGAGCUUUUCUAAACCAAAAUUUGUUCUCUGCCCGUGCUCAUUCUCCAUUUGAUGGCGUCACUCCGUCCUUCAUGGUCCUCUCGGGAGUCUGCACAUGGGAGGUGGCUACAGCUGUCUUAGAUGUGUGUGAGCCUCUGGACCUCUAAGUUGAAAACUGACUUACAGUGAAAACACCUUUAAGUCAAAAACGUAUCCAAGUAACUUAAUUUUAUAGUUUCUACCUUUAUUUUGAUUAACUUUGUUUUUGACAUGGGAUCUCAUGUAGCCCAGGCUGGCCUUAACCUUGUCAUGUAGGCAAGGAUAGCCUUCACUUCCUGAUCCUCCUGUCUCUGCCUUCCAACUCCUGGGAUCACAGGUGUUUGCCAGCAUACCUGGCUUGCUCGGUUGUAUUUGGUAUUUGGUGUUUACUAUUUAUGAACUGGGGAUCUUGCUGUUGCCCAGGCUGGCCUUGAACUCUUAGACUCAAGUUCCCUUCCCUUCUCAGUCCUAAUUGAGUAGCCAGGACUUCUGGCAAAUGACUGUGCCCAACAGCCACAACGUUUUGCAAAUGGCAAACUUGACAGGCGACUAGAGGAAGCUCCCAUGAUGACAGUUCCUCUGCAGAAGGAGGCUCAGCGCGCAGCAGCCCCGCUGCGUCCACACUGCCAGUCGCUCUGCUCAGACUCACUGUCCUCUUUCCUUGCAGUUGUCAUGGAUGAUGACGAUGACUCCUGUCUCCUCGAUCUUAUUGGAGACCCACAAGCAUUGAACUAUUUUCUGCACGGACCUAGCAGUAAAUCGAGCGGCGAUGACGUGACGAACGCAGGGUAUUCUGCAGCCAAUUCUAAUUCAAUUUUCGCCAACUCCACGGUGAGUGUUGAAAACAGAACCUGCAGCCUUUCUCUCUCAAGGAAACCUAACAGGAGAGACUUUAAUUGCCUCCGUAGAGUGCUAAGAAUCAUUACCUCACCUUGUAAUUGACAGGAGAGGAAAAACCCAUAUGUCAGUGUUCUUCUUGUUAUAGGAUCAGGCUUUCAAGACACAUACCUUAGGGGUUGGGGAUUUAGUUCAGUGGUAGGGCGCUUGCCCCUGG